CAGUAGCCGCGGUAAUACGUAGGUCCCGAGCGUUGUCCGGAUUUAUUGGGCGUAAAGCGAGCGCAGGCGGUUAGAUAAGUCUGAAGUUAAAGGCUGUGGCUUAACCAUAGUACGCUUUGGAAACUGUUUAACUUGAGUGCAAGAGGGGAGAGUGGAAUUCCAUGUGUAGCGGUGAAAUGCGUAGAUAUAUGGAGGAACACCGGUGGCGAAAGCGGCUCUCUGGCUUGUAACUGACGCUGAGGCUCGAAAGCGUGGGGAGCAAACAGGAUUAGAGACCCGAGUAGUCCCUGUCUCUUAUACA
rnacentral:rRNA from 1 species